rnacentral:hammerhead_ribozyme from 1 species
GCACUCCUGAGGAGUGCCAAAACAAGACGAAACGGCCGUCCAGUGC